AUGGGCUGUGGGGAUCUGGCACUGUGGUUCCUGCAUGAAAACUAUGGACCUACAACACCACUUCUGCCAUCACAGUCAAGUCUACAAUCAGAAGGCUGAAGGAAUUGAAACCAGGAGAACCAGUAGAAAGUUCUACCAUAUAGCAAAAUUGUGGUUUGUUUGUUAUUCGUAUUAACUGCAUGUUCUGAUGUGAAUUGCAUUAAUAUUGCCCUUUCAAAAGAUUUGUAAAUUGAAGCCCUUCUGGAAAAUUUUGCUGAGAUGGGUU
rnacentral:lncRNA from 1 species